rnacentral:snoRNA from 1 species
AAAGCCAUAGAAGAACAUGAUCUAUAGGCUCGUACUUUGUAUUCUUGAUUCCUAAAAAGGACAGAAACCCAUGUCUGGUUGAUGAAUCAAGACCAUGGAACCAGAGCGUGAUUAACAGAGCUUGUGGUCUAGAUCAUGGCUCGGUAGAGGAUCGUUGCUAGCCCAUCUUAUCCGGUCCUGGCAUGGCUCCAUGGUUGUCUGACAAACA